rnacentral:rRNA from 1 species
UACGGAGGAUCCAAGCGUUAUCCGGAAUUAUUGGGUUUAAAGGGUCCGUAGGCGGACAAUUAAGUCAGUGGUGAAAUUUUGAGGCUUAACUUCAAACGUGCCAUUGAAACUGGUAGUCUAGAGUAACUGUGCUGUGGUUGGAACGUGUAGUGUAGCGGUGAAAUGCAUAGAUAUUACACAGAACGCCAAUUGCGAAAGCAGAUCACAAACAGUUUACUGACGCUGAUGGACGAAAGCGUGGGGAGCGAACAGG